AGCAGCCGCGGUAAUUCCAGCUCCAAUAGCGUAUAUUAAAGUUGUUGCAGUUAAAAAGCUCGUAGUUGAACUUCGGGGUUUACCCAUUGGUCAGGCUUAAUUGUCUGUACUGGUGAGAUGAAUCUCUACCUUCUGAGGAACUUUCAUGCCAUUUAUUUGGUGUGAUGGGAAAUCAGGACUGUUACUUUGAAAAAAUUAGAGUGUUUAGAGCAGGCUAACGUCUGAAUACAUUAGCAUGGAAUAAUGAAAUAGGACGGACUGAUUCUAUUUCGUUGGUUUCUAGGAUCACCGUAAUGAUUAAUAGGGAUAGUUGGGGGCAUUAGUAUUCAAUUGUCAGAGGUGAAGUUCUUGGAUUUAUUGAAGACUAACUACUGCGAAAGCAUUUGCCAAGGAUGUUUUCAUUAAUCAAGAACGAAAGUUAGGGGAUCGAAGACGAUCAGAUACCGUCGUAGUCUUAACCAUAAACAAUGCCGACUAGGGAUCGGACGAAGUUAAUUUUAUAAUGACGCGUUCGGCACCUUACG
rnacentral:rRNA from 1 species